GACAUGAAAUUAUCCCCAUUGUUGUUGUUCCUGGCUGCUUUGUUAUCCCCAUCCAUUCUUAACAAUGACUCUGACACAUGGAAUAUGGAAAUUGAGCAUUUGCAAACCACCAGAAAGUCAGUCCAAGAAGAGAUUGUAAAGAAGCACAACCAACUGAGAAGAAUGGUUUCUCCACCUGGUAGUGACUUACUAAAUAUGAAAUGGGACAAUUAUUAUCAACUUUUAGCACAGAUGACUGCACACACUUGCACGCUCUUUGACAAUCGUGGAGAAUUCUGGACCAAAAGUAUGUAAACUCGGUGUCACUUACAAAUGAAUGGAGAGUCACACAGAAAAGCCCAUUUUCUCAUACCGUGAUUACAAAUUGUUGUAAAUAAAUACUUAUUCUGAUGCUGUUUUUUUUUUCAAGUUAAAUAUCUCUGGGGCAGAGAUGGAUCUGAAAGUCUCUACUUCGUGC